CCCGCGCCGACGCUUCCCACCGGCCGGAGGGCAGGGCCCCGCGCGCGGCCGCCGUUCCGCAGCCAACAGCCGUCACCGUGGCCAGGCCGGCGGGCCCCGCGAUGCUGUCUCUCCUGCUGAUGCUCUCAGGUCUGGGCCGGCUGACCUCCGCGGGCCAUCAUCCUGAACCAUCCCUUCUACAAAUUACCGUGCCACGGAAGAUUGGGACAAACAGCAGUGAUGACAAAGUUUCUUGAAUGCGUGCAAAUAAAUCAUGAUUUCUA